ACUUGCGGGAUUCCAAGGCCUCAUCGGGUGCGGGUAUCUGGCUGUGGAUUCGCCGCCGUCCCGCUGGACGCCUGGAGGCUCGAACCCCGCCGCCCCCCGACCCCAGGCUUUACUCCCACCCUGGCUUCCGCCCACUGUGCUGCCCUUCCUCGGACCUGGGCUGUCGGGAGAGCUGGAGAUGUUCACCCUUCCUCAGAAGGACUUCAGGGCUCCCACCACCUGUCUGGGCCCCGCCUGCAUGCAGGACCUGGGCAGUAGCCAUGGGGAAGAUCUGGAAGGAGAAUGCUCCAGAAAACUGGACCAGAAGCUACCAGAGCUCCGUGGAGGCAUCAUUAACUUGGGCACCAGUGAGAACAAACUCUGCUUUGACCUGCUGUCCUGGCGGUUUCUCUGAUGAGCAGAACAAGCGUUCAGCUUUACCUGCCCUGUGCUGUGGAUGCGGGUAGCAGUGCUGGCCCUCAGCCGUGCUCUUCCCUCUCUGUCCCCAGCUGAGUCAGAGCGACAUGCAGAGGGUGGAGCCAUCCCUGCUGCAGUAUGCUGACUGGAGGGGACAUCUGUUCCUCCGGGAGGAAGUGGCCAAGUUCCUGUCUUUCUACUGCAAGAGCCCAGUACCCCUCAGACCAGAGAAUGUGGUUGUCCUGAAUGGUGGUGCCUCGCUCUUCUCUGCUCUGGCCACGGUGCUGUGUGAGGCCGGGGGUAAGUGAGCUCUGUGGCCUGCCCCGCACUGUGAGCCUCAUUGUGCUUGCAGGGUUCCCAGUUGCCUGGCCUCAAGGGCUGCAAUAGUAUGCUUUCGGGCACAAUAGAAUAUACUAGACUGCAGGGGGCUUGAAUAAGUGGCUUGACAAAGCACCCAGGGGUCAGCAGUUCCAGGGGAGGUUAGUUUGAUGUCAGGGUCCUGGGCUUUCUCUCUGCCAUGACCUUGGCUGCUUCAUGCUCAUAAGGUGGCUGUCGCGUCCUCAC
rnacentral:sRNA from 1 species